rnacentral:tRNA from 1 species
CAUAUGAUAGUUUAGUCAGAAUUUUGGCCUUGGGUGUCAGUGGUGGAGGUGAAAAUCCUUCUCAUAUGA